GGCCCUUUAUUUUCCUAUCAGCUGGAAGAGAGGAUCUGAGUAAUUCAGCAAGGCGAGGUUUGUUUAGCUGAAAUGAAAAGGGAAAUGGUCAAAGAUGAAAUUGUUUAAUUCUUUCUCACCAACUAACUGCAGAAUUAUAGAUGUCUCUUGAAUGCAAUAAGUUAAUUUCAGUCAUUCUGCUUAUUUGUAUACACGUUGCCAAAGUAAAAGCCUAAUCCAAAAAUUAAUGAUUUGAGAAUCCAUUGGGUAUUCUUCUGGG
rnacentral:lncRNA from 1 species